rnacentral:rRNA from 1 species
AGGCGACGACGGGUAGCCGGCCUGAGAGGGCGACCGGCCACACUGGGACUGAGACACGGCCCAGACUCCUACGGGAGGCAGCAGUGGGGAAUAUUGCACAAUGGGCGAAAGCCUGAUGCAGCGACGCCGCGUGAGGGAUGACGGCCUUCGGGUUGUAAACCUCUUUCAGCAGGGAAGAAGCGAAAGUGACGGUACCUGCAGAAGAAGCGCCGGCUAACUACGUGCCAGCAGCCGCGGUAAUACGUAGGGCGCAAGCGUUGUCCGGAAUUAUUGGGCGUAAAGAGCUCGUAGGCGGCUUGUCACGUCGGAUGUGAAAGCUCGGGGCUUAACCCCGAGUCUGCAUUCGAUACGGGCUAGCUAGAGUGUGGUAGGGGAGAUCGGAAUUCCUGGUGUAGCGGUGAAAUGCGCAGAUAUCAGGAGGAACACCGGUGGCGAAGGCGGAUCUCUGGGCCAUUACUGACGCUGAGGAGCGAAAGCGUGGGGAGCGAACAGGAUUAGAUACCCUGGUAGUCCACGCCGUAAACGUUGGGAACUAGGUGUUGGCGACAUUCCACGUCGUCGGUGCCGCAGCUAACGCAU